GUCUCGGUAGCUCAAUUGGAUAGAGCAUCGGACUUCGAAUCCGGCGGUUACAGGUUCGACUCCUGUCCGGGGCACCA
rnacentral:tRNA from 1 species